rnacentral:rRNA from 1 species
AGUGAACGCUGGCGGUAGGCCUAACACAUGCAAGUCGAACGGCAGCACAGUAAUAGCUUGCUCUUACGGGUGGCGAGUGGCGGACGUGUGAGGAAUACAUCGGAAUCUACUUUUUCGUGGGGGAUAACGUAGGUAAACUUACGCUAAUACCGCAUACGACCUACGGGUGAAAGCAGGGGAUCUUCGGACCUUGCGCGAUUGAAUGAGCCGAUGUCGUAUUAGCUAGUUGGCGGGGUAAAGGCCCACCAAGGCGACGAUCCGCAGCUGGUCUGGGAGGAUGAUCAGCGACACUGGAGCUGAGACACGGUCAAGGGUACUGCGAGAGGGAGCAGAGGGGAAUAUUGGACAAUGGUCGCGAGCAUGAUCCAGCGAUACCGCGUGGGUGAAGAAGGCCUUGGGGUUGUAAAGCCCUUUUGUUGGUAAAGAAAAGCAGCAGGUUAAUACCCCGCUGUUCUGACGGUACCGAAAGAAUAAGCACCGGCUAACUUCGUG